UCAUUUAAAACAGUGGCUCGUUCAAAGAUGAGAAGUGGAAAGGCGGACGUCCUCCUCGCCGUUGUUAAGGUCAGAUAGAUAAUAAUAUGGGGAGCCCUGCUGGAUCAGACGGUUCAAUAUCCUGUCCAUCCACCCCCCAGCACCUUAUAUCGAAGGAGCCCCGCUCAGACGUGACCUUUCCCACUGUGCCUGCCUAAGCCUUUGCUCCUUGAGAGACGAUCCAGUGACCAGACCGAUGCUUUCGGGAGGCCCACAAGACAUGAGAAUCACAUCCCAAGUCAGUGGCAGGAUCCAAGUGUGGCUUGCAAAUUCAAGGUUCAGAGACCAGAAGUGGAGUUGAAACAUGGAGAUAAGACAGUAUUAUAUCACACAGGAGAGAAAGACUGGAUUGCCAAAGGAGUCAUCUGAAAGUGUACAAUUAUGGCUGAUCCAUAUGCUCAUGUUUAAUUCUUAAAAUGUCUUUCCAAAAAAGUUUAUAUGCUUUAGGGGGAAGUCUACCUAUUGCUUCCUUGUGUGUAUAUUUUGACAAUUUAAACUUUGUUUAACUAUUAUUGACAAUGUUAAUGUAUAUAACUAUAUGUAUUUUGUAAGCGUCAUGUUCGUAGUGCAAGUGUAGUGCAGCAGCUGAAGCAUUCACAGUGAGCAAGCAGGCAAGGUGGACGACUGAAGUGAGUGAACUGCAGUGCGAAAGCUUCAACUGCUCAUCUUGGUGGUGGCAGCGGCAGCAGGCAAGGGGUUCAGGAGGCGAGGGCAGCAGGUGAGGUUGGGCCUCUCUACAGGACAGCUUCCCUGUAGUGUGAACACUUCACCACCUGCUUUGGCAGCAGUGGCGGCAGUGACAGGAAAGGGAUGGGAGGUGAGAGAGGUGGGUGAGGGAGCAAGCAAGAUGGGAGAGGCGGCCUGGGUGAGCCAGAGAGGAACAGUCAGGACAGCCCAGGGAAGCUCCUGCUGUUGCUGUGCCCCCCCUCACCAACAGCCUCAAUGGUGGAAGGCAAGUAGGAGGGAAGAGGCAAGAGAGCAGGACUAUUGCUGAGGUGCUGGCUCAGCCACAGGAGGCCUGAAAGGGAGGAGAGAAUGAAGCCUGGUGACCUGGGGGGGGGACAGAGAGGAGAGGCCGUGGUGGAAAAGGAAUCCAAGCACAAUAGCAGCCACACCAGUGAGUCAGGAGCUGUGUGCAUGACCUGGGCCAGCUUGCUCUGUACAGCUGCUCAGCUUGGUGGAGGAAGGCAGGUGUGAUUGGCUUGAGAGGGAGGAAGAGAGGCAGGGCCCAGCAGUCCAGUUCCCUUCCCCAUUCCUACCAAAUGGCUCCAGUUUCUCGCUUCCCCCCAUUGGAGUCCUCAAAGACAUUCCUUUCCUUGCCCCAGGAGAAAUUGUCAGGCAAAUAGGAGUGGUCUGUUGCAAGGAAGAGUUGAGAAAAGGAGGGAGGAUAAAAGAGGGAAAAAGGAGGGGUGAAGGCAAAAAUGGUGUGUGUGUGUGCGCAAAGCAGGAAUGGCAAGUGGAUUGAGAGGGGUUGGUGAACAGAGCGAACAGAGGGGCAUACUAGUAUUCUUUGUAAACUGCUUGAAAGUUUUAUUUUCAAUUAGGUGGAAUACAAAUUCUACUAAAUAAGCAAAUAUGCAACGAAAGCCUGCUGCACUUUGUAAAAUGUGACUGGCUGCACUUGACCAUUUGAAUAGUGGAUCUGGUGGGUGAGCUGCUCUGAGAUGACAAUGAACCACACUUUCUAGUACCACAUGUCCAGUGUCACAUUAUGUGCCUGCUUCCAGUAUUUGGUAAUAAUGAGGCAGGCAGUGAUGAAACCUACAAAGCCUUAGGAGAUCCAUUUAGAGAUAUCUCAUGUUACAUCUAGUUUGGCUCUAGUAUUACCUUUCAGAUUUAUUGUUUGAAUUUACAAAACAGGAUGUUUCUGGGUCUAAGGAAUUUGUGUUUCAAGGCUUCAAUGCUGAAUAGCUGCUAUGAAUGAUUUUUUGAAGUCCAUAACCAAUGGGGCAGUAUAGAUAGUAAUUUUUUGUUUUCCUAAUGGAUGUUUUGUUGGCUUUGUAGGGCUUUAGAUGCAGUGUGUGUAUACACUGAAGAUACUGGCUUUAUAAAAUUCAAAACAAUUGAGGCUUCAGCGAUUUUAUAUUUCAAGUGGUGAUCCUGAGUAAACUUCCUUUGUCUCCUGUUGUACAUUUUAUGUAAUUUUUCAGUUAGAUACUUUAACAA